GCUGCUAUCCCCAUUUGCCAGCUGACUCAGCCAAGGCUCACGAAGCUGUUCGAAGCUCAACUCUCCAUGGUUAACCCGGCACAAUGCCUCAGAUGGGGAACUGGGGUUGCUGACAGAGCCUUUGAACCGGGUCCGAUUCUUAUUGUUGAGUUCAAGCGAGUUAGGGUCCUUGGACACGUGGCGGAUGUCAUAGGUUUUGAGAGGAUCAAUCAAGUGUGGUGGUG
rnacentral:misc_RNA from 1 species